AAAAAAGCAGGGCCUCAUUGCCUUUUGUGGAUGAAGCUCUCGUAUACUUCAGGAAAAUCAAUUUCAUCAUUAUUGGGUGAACCUCUGUACAAUGUAAUGACUGAUGGUUCAGUAAAUGAUGGAACAAUU
rnacentral:snoRNA from 1 species